UUUAAAGAGAGUUUGAUCCUGGCUCAGGACGAACGCUGGCGGCGUGCCUAAUACAUGCAAGUCGAACGAACGGAGGAAGAGCUUGCUCUUCCAAAGUUAGUGGC
rnacentral:rRNA from 2 species